rnacentral:rRNA from 1 species
AGUGAACGCUGGCGGUAGGCCUAACACAUGCAAGUCGAACGGCAGCACAGUAAGCGCUUGCUCUUACGGGUGGCGAGUGGCGGACGGGUGAGGAAUACAUCGGAAUCUACUUUUUCGUGGGGGAUAACGUAGGGAAACUUACGCUAAUACAGCAUACGACCUACGGGUGAAAGCAGGGGAUCUUCGGACCUUGCGCGAUUGAAUGAGCCGAUGUCGGAUUAGCUAGUUGGCGGGGUAAAGGCCCACCAAGGCAACGAUCCGUAGCUGGUCUGAGAGGAUGAUCGGCCACACUGGAACUGAGACACGGUCCAGACUCCUACGGGAGGCAGCAGUGGGGAAUAUUGGACAAUGGGCGAAAGCCUAACCCAGCCAUACCGCGUGGGUGAAGAAGGCCUUCGGGUCGUAAAGCCCUUUUGUUGGGAAAGAACAGCAGCGGGUUAAUACCCGGCUGUCCUGACGGUACCCAAAGAAUAAGCACCGGCUAACUACGUG